UACAGAGGGUGCAAGCGUUGUUCGGAAUUAUUGGGCGUAAAGCGCGUGUAGGCGGCUUUGCAAGUCGGGUGUGAAAGCCCUCGGCUCAACUGAGGAAGUGCACCCGAAACUGGCGAGCUUGAGUACGAAAGAGGAUCGCGGAAUUCCCGGUGUAGAGGUGAAAUUCGUAGAUAUCGGGAGGAACACCGGUGGCGAAGGCAGGUCUCUGGGCCACUACUGACGCUGAGAAGCGAAAGCAUGGGGAGCGAACAGG
rnacentral:rRNA from 1 species